rnacentral:rRNA from 1 species
AGGACGAACGCUGGCGGCACGCUUAACACAUGCAAGUCGAACGAACGGAGAUAGCUUGCUAUCAAAGUUAGUGGCGGACGGGUGAGUAACACGUGAGCAAUCUGCCUUUAAGUGGGGAAUAACGAUUGGAAACGGUCGGUAAUACCGCAUAAUAUAGCGAAACCGCAUGAUUUUGCUAUCAAAGAUUUAUCGCUUAAAGAUGAGCUCGCGUCUGAUUAGCUAGUUGGUGAGGUAACGGCUCACCAAGGCGACGAUCAGUAGCCGGACUGAGAGGUUGAACGGCCACAUUGGGACUGAGACACGGCCCAGACUCCUACGGGAGGCAGCAGUGGGGAAUAUUGCACAAUGGGCGCAAGCCUGAUGCAGCGAUGCCGCGUGAGGGAAGAAGGUUUUCGGAUUGUAAACCUCUGUUGACAGGGACGAUAAUGACGGUACCUGUUCAGAAAGCUCCGGCUAACUACGUGCCAGCCGCGGC